GUUUGGAGUUAAAUGAAUGCAAGGUGGACAGAGGAGGGCCCCUUACUCCAGCAGCUUUGAGACAACUAUACUGUGUUUACUGGGUUCGGCCCCACACGCCCAGGGCCACAGCAGCCCCCGGAUGCGGGGACACGCCGCCCGUGGUCUUGGCAGCUCACACUAACUGCGCUUUCCACCAGCCUGUCCUUGUUAGCACCGCUGGGGCUCCGCGGUUAAGCUGUCGAAAGCCAGGGCAACACUGAGUCACGCACCUCCUUUUCAACCAAGGCAUAUUUCUGGGAAUGUGAAGAACACUCCAGCGACGUGACAUUCCUUAGCUUGUAGUAGUAGGCAACUCCCCACUUCCUUUCUAGACGCAUUGCAUCAUCUUUCUCAACAGGACGAAACAGAUUUACUUGAAACUUACGUGCCCCUGGGAGAAAGGCUGGAGGGCUGAGCCCCAGCCCGCCCUUUGUAGAUGGGCUCUUAUCCUGCCCCAGAGGGCGAGUGGGCAAGCCUCCUGACGACUGCUCUCUUGCCUCACAAGGAUCAAAAGACAGACGUGAUGUAUGUUCCAUGCUCACCCCACAAGCAUGAAAUCCCGCACUAGGACAGUCACUGCAUGCGGGAGUCACAGAGCACGUGUGCGGGGCGUCUGUGGACACAUCAGCUCCCCUGGGGGGCGGUGUGGUCUUGGCCAUUCUUUGUCCUUUUCAUCUCAGAAUAAGUCACAGGACAGGUCGACUAUCACCCCAUCUUCCAGAUGAAGAAGCUGAGGCUCCCAAGAGGGAAUCAGCUGCUUGUGGUCACACAGUAUGUGAUCAACAGUGCCACGAGUUCAACCCAGCUCUUUCUGACUCCAGUCAUACCCAGCAUAGUGGAAUGACAGAGUCGAAACCCAGUAAACUGUGGGAGGGGAAGAGGAUGUUCUGGUGGUUUCUGCCUGGGCACCACGGAGGACAGAUGGCAGUGGGAAAAUUGGAUUACUUGGGGAGAAAUAUUUCCUUUCAAAUAACUUUUCAAAUGAAAAGGAAAAAAACAAGUGUGGAAGUAAGGAAAAGUGAAGAAUAUGCGUGUUCACGGACUCGUGGAGGAAAGACCUUUCAGAAGAGAGUCAGCCGCAUUGGCUACUCUGAAAGACCCAACAGGAUGAAGACCAAGAUAAAGAAAGGAGGAAGCCACUGAUGACCUUCAUUUCCUAUGGGAAACAUUUAUUUAUUGUUCUUUGUCUCCAGCCACCUUCCUCUCUCAGCCCAGACCCACAUUUUCCCUCACCUUCUCCUGGACGUCUUCCCCUGGCUUUUCUGUGGAUAGUUCAAACUUGGCAUACCCCAGAACUGCCUACUCUUCACUCCAGCCCCCAAUCAGACAGACAGACAAACACCACACUCAUUCACCUGUUCUCCCCAUCCUCCUCGGUUACACCACUAUCCACCCAAACUGAGUAUCAUUCCAGAAUCAUUCCCUCCCUCUGCCUAUGCACAUAUAGUGGAUCCUUUAAAUAUCUCACUGACCAAUCUCUCCUCUCUAACCUUGAGGCUACAGCCUUAGUCAGGCCUUCCUUAUCUUUUAUCUAGACCAACUCACCACUACCCUACCUACCAUCCUCCUACUCCUAACGCAUCCUCCACACCUUCACGGACUCUGAAUGCCUUUGGACCAUUUGACUCACACAAUACACUCUGCUCCCAUCCUCCCCAGAAUCAAGUCUAACUUCUUUAAAAUCUUACAAAUAAUGAAACAAGGAACAUCUGUGUAUAUAUAACUCACCUUAUUCAUUCAAGUUAUUUCCUCGGGAUAAAUCCGAAAUUGAGCAGUGAUCCCACCUGCCUGCCCCCAUUCUUCUCCAUCGAAAAAAAUCUUAAUACUUGUGCCCUGACUCUGCUUGUUUUUUUUUUUUUCUUCUCUUUUAAGUCAGGUCCCAGUUAUUUUUUUAUUGAGGGAAAAUUAUUUUAAUUUUAAAGCGGUAUGUGUUUAACCAUUUCCCUCCCUCCAGUUUUUUGUUUGUUUUCAUUUUGCUUUUACACACAUAUUGCUUCAGGUUGUAGAAACAUUUUUCUGUCAGGCGUUUCAUGAGUUUUUCAAUGCAGCAAUCUCUCCCCAGGGAACUCUUUUAAAAAGCAGGGCAGGGUUGGAUGGGAAGUUGGGCUUACUUUCCUUUAGGUGCUCCAAGUUAAGAGUAAAAGAAAAAAAAAAUAAUGCCGAGAGUGUCAUCUAUAUUGUAGUGAGUAACUCAUUCUCCCUAGCCUAAUGAGCCACUUUCUUUUUUUAAUAAAGAAAAAUUUAGUAGGCAAGUUCCCUGGAUCUAGAGAUACCGAAGCUCUCCUUUGAACCGACUUUGAAUAGUCUGGGGCCAACUUCGGACUGCCUUGAAGUUUUCACAAGAAUAAAACCAUAGCUGAAUAGGUGUCUGGGACAUUCCUCCUCUCCUUUUGUGGGAUUAUUCGGGAAUCUUAUCAAAGGAUGUCAGUGCCCUGGGUGCUUAUAAAUGCUAGACUGAUUUUAUAUGCUAUCUUAACUUGGGGCUAGUAGGGAGAUUUCAAAGAAACUUGGAUCAUUCAUAUAAACAAUUGGCUUCAAAUAAAACUUACCAUCUCUAUGUUAAAUAUGCAUUUUUAAUGACAUAGCUCUCCCUCAAAUCAGGAAGAGUCUGGGAAUGUUGUUUCUCGAAUGCCU